UGCAUCGUUGACGAGUGGCCCGCCGCUCCUGGAUGCUGGCGAUGAGCUGCUGGUGAAGGCAGGAGAGCCGCUCAUCCUCAACUGCACGGGAUCCAAGCCCUUGUACUGGAAAACUCAUGAUGAAGAAAUGAACUAUACUGUGACCGGCUCUCCCACUGAGUCUACUUUGGCUGUUGAGAAAAUAGAAUCCCUCGACACUGGAUAUUUCUACUGUCACUACGAGAACGUUUCAGACUUUGAAAGUGACAAGGAAAACGUGGACUCCACCUAUGUCUAUGUGCAUGGUAAGGGCGCCAAAGCCGGCAACUGCUAAACAUUAAUGAGCCAGUAACUUCCAGGAGACAUAUGCUUCACCCUUUGCAGCCUUUGGUCCAUUCUAAUUGUGUCUGCAUGAUGAUGGUGGCAAAUUGAGAAUCAUGGACGGUGCUGGCUUCAUACAGUGUUCUCAGAGGCUGAUCAGAAUCCUGUUUUGUGCCGCAUUAAGCAAACCUCCGGAGUAAAGUAUACAUAGAGUAAUUAGACCACCUCAUAAUGUCAAAUAUCAAGAUUUUUUUUUUUUGAUAAUGAACAUUUUUGUACCACACUAUUUGUAUGUAUCAGUUACAACCAAAAUAUGUGUAAUGAUAAAUCUUGUUACCUUAGUAUGCUGCCACCUUGCUGCCAGACAGGAAACCC